rnacentral:tRNA from 1 species
CAAAUCCCCUUGCUAACU